GAAUCAUUGUAAAGAGAUGCCCAAGAGGAAGAAGAUAUAGCCGUUUAGAGAGAGAGAUUGAUCUUGGCUUCAACGGGACGAUUUUGAAUCCGAAAUUGAAAUUAGAGUUUUGAAAAAAUUAAGAUCUCUCAUGGAUGAAGAAUCCGAUUUGCUGAUGUUUAAUGGUUUCUUUGAGAAAAAGCAGAGCAGAGACUUAGUAUUAGAGAUAUGUUGGGCCGGAAGAUAUGUAUCUUACGGACCAAGUCUGUGAAGCCUGUGAAACCCAUGAAGACCCUCAAGAAUAAAAGGAAAGAUUUGAAGAACAAGUUACUCUCAAAAUAUUUUAGCAUAUUUACAUUAAGUGUUUAGGAAAGUUAGCAUUAUCUAGUGUUAACAUUAUGUUAAUGUUACCACUAUAUACAUGCAUAUUGUAUUCUCUUAUUAAACACAAUACAAUAAUAUAUCUAUUCUAUUAUAUUUUACAUGGUAUCAGAGCAGACGAUUCGUAGGGAUCAAAAUUAAGCUUUCGCGUUAUAAGUUUUAAACUUCGAAGAUGCUUACCAUCGGUGGUGUUGAUGAUGGCAAAGAAGGUGGUGACGACGAUUCAGACGAAGACGUCAACGUAUACGUCAAGUUCUCUCAUUAGGGAUACUUCUUAAUAAUAAGUAUUAGGGUUUUGUUAAGUACGUUAUCUAAGUCAAAGGAUUUUUUAUUUUUUUUUAUUUUGGUGAAUGCUUGAGAAUUAUUGAGGGUUAAGGUUUGUAGUUUCACAUGGGUUAUUUUCUAUCUGAGAUUUUUCUAUAGUUUAGAAUUUCUCAACAGUUGUUUUCUCAUGGGAUUUAUUGGUUAUAGUUUAACCAUUACAGGGGAGUUCUAGUUGAACGUUCAAAUUCUUAGGUCAGUUUUUUUAGUCCGUGUUAUGGACUGUCCAAGUCAAGGAUAAUUGUUUAUGGAGCUGCAGUUGCGCCCACGAGAUGUAUUCUCAUUGUCAAGACCGAAGAAGAGCUGAAGAUUUCAUCCCUCCUUGUCUAAGUUGAAGUUUAUUCCCGAAGGAAUCUACUGAUUUGUUUUCUUCGACAUAGUGUCCACGACAUACGUGGUCUGCUUUGUGAUUGCAGAUUUGCGUGUUGCAUCCCACGUUUGUCGUGCGGGGGAGUAUUAGAGAUAUGUUGGGCCGGAAGAUAUGUAUCUUACGGACCAAGUCUGUGAAGCCUGUGAAACCCAUGAAGACCCUCAAGAAUAAAAGGAAAGAUUUGAAGAACAAGUUACUCUCAAAAUAUUUUAGCAUAUUUACAUUAAGUGUUUAGGAAAGUUAGCAUUAUCUAGUGUUAACAUUAUGUUAAUGUUACCACUAUAUACAUGCAUAUUGUAUUCUCUUAUUAAACACAAUACAAUAAUAUAUCUAUUCUAUUAUAUUUUA